CGAAUGAAGAGAUUCAUCGUCAGCGUAUUCAGUAUUAAUCCAGGCUAUGAUGUGAUGAUAGAAUCCUUGUGGUCACUAGAUUAUACUUGCUUGUAUUAUUUUUGCUGGGCAGGUCGGCGUGCACUUCUCUUCUAGUAGAACGUCGCAACCCGUUGGAUGUUUAUUUAUGCCCUAAAUGGUACCCUCUGAUAUUUUAAAAUAUCGAAGACCUUUGGUGUCCUGAUAAGCUGUCUGACGGUAAACAUAUAGUAUUGAGCCGCAAUUAUUUGCGUUAGACUUACCGCAAGUAAGAUUUUAGUCUAGUAGUGCAGAUCUAAUGCUGUCGCUGGGCAAAGUCUACUGUUAGCUGUGUAA
rnacentral:rRNA from 1 species